GUGGAUGCCUUGACUGGUAAAGGCGAUGAAGGACGUACUAGACUGCGAUAAGCUACGGGGAGCUGUCAAGAAGCUUUGAUCCGUAGAUUUCCGAAUGGGGCAACCCAAUGUAUAGAGAUAUACAUUACCUAUAUAGGAGCGAACGAGGGGAAUUGAAACAUCUUAGUACCCUCAGGAAAAGAAAUCAAUAGAGAUUGCGUCAGUAGCGGCGAGCGAAAGCGCAAGAGGGCAAACCCAGUGCUUGCACUGGGGGUUGUAGGACUGCAAUGUGCAAGAGGUGAGUUUAGCAGAACAUUCUGGAAAGUAUAACCAUAGAGGGUGAUAGUCCCGUAUGCGAAAAACAAACCUUAGCUAGCAGUAUCCUGAGUAGGGCGGGACACGAGGAAUCCUGUCUGAAGCUGGGUCGACCACGAUCCAACCCUAAAUACUAAUACCAGAUCGAUAGUGCACAAGUACCGUGAGGGAAAGGUGAAAAGAACUGAGGUGAUCAGAGUGAAAUAGAACCUGAAACCAUUUGCUUACAAUCAUUCAGAGCCCUAUGUAGCAAUACAGGGUGAUGGACUGCCUUUUGCAUAAUGAGCCUGCGAGUUGUGGUGUCUGGCAAGGUUAAGCAAACGCGAAGCCGUAGCGAAAGCGAGUCUGAAUAGGGCGCUUAGUCAGAUGCUGCAGACCCGAAACGAAGUGAUCUAUCCAUGAGCAAGUUGAAGCUAGUGUAAGAACUAGUGGAGGACUGAACCCAUAGGCGUUGAAAAGCCCCGGGAUGACUUGUGGAUAGGGGUGAAAGGCCAAUCAAACUUCGUGAUAGCUGGUUCUCUCCGAAAUAUAUUUAGGUAUAGCGUUGUGUCGUAAUAUAAGGGGGUAGAGCACUGAAUGGGCUAGGGCAUACACCAAUGUACCAAACCCUAUCAAACUCCGAAUACCUUAUAUGUAAUCACAGCAGUCAGGCGGCGAGUGAUAAAAUCCGUCGUCAAGAGGGAAACAACCCAGACUACCAGCUAAGGUCCCUAAAUCUUACUUAAGUGGAAAACGAUGUGAAGUUACUUAAACAACCAGGAGGUUGGCUUAGAAGCAGCCAUCCUUUAAAGAAAGCGUAAUAGCUCACUGGUCUAGUGAUUUUGCGCGGAAAAUAUAACGGGGCUAAAGUAAGUACCGAAGCUGUAGACUUGCACACAACUUAGAUUAUUUAAGUUUAGAAUAUGAGAAACUAAGUUAUAUGUUUAGUUAUAUUUUUACUGAUUUUUAUAGAGUAAAGAUAGAAAUAAAACUUAGUAAAAUCAGUAAAAAUAUUCUUAGACUAAAGUUAAGUAGUUUAAGUUGUGUGCAAGUGGUAGGAGAGCGUUCUAUUUGCGUCGAAGGUAUACCGGUAAGGAGUGCUGGAGCGAAUAGAAGUGAGCAUGCAGGCAUGAGUAGCGAUAAUUAAUGUGAGAAUCAUUAACGCCGUAAACCCAAGGUUUCCUACGCGAUGCUCGUCAUCGUAGGGUUAGUCGGGUCCUAAGUCGAGUCCGAAAGGGGUAGACGAUGGCAAAUUGGUUAAUAUUCCAAUACCAACAUUAGUGUGCGAUGGAAGGACGCUUAGGGCUAAGGGGGCUAGCGGAUGGAAGUGCUAGUCUAAGGUCGUAGGAGGUUAUACAGGCAAAUCCGUAUAACAAUACUCCGAGAACUGAAAGGCUUUUUGAAGUCUUCGGAUGGAUAGAAGAACCCCUGAUGCCGUCGAGCCAAGAAAAGUUUCUAAGUUUAGCUAAUGUUGCCCGUACCGUAAACCGACACAGGUGGGUGGGAUGAGUAUUCUAAGGCGCGUGGAAGAACUCUCUUUAAGGAACUCUGCAAAAUAGCACCGUAUCUUCGGUAUAAGGUGUGGUUCGCUUCGUAUUAGGAUUUACUCCGAAAGCGAAGAAACUUACAACAAAGAGUCCCUCCCGACUGUUUACCAAAAACACAGCACUCUGCUAACUCGUAAGAGGAUGUAUAGGGUGUGACGCCUGCCCGGUGCUCGAAGGUUAAUUGAUGGGGUUAGCAUUAGCGAAGCUCUUGAUCGAAGCCCGAGUAAACGGCGGCCGUAACUAUAACGGUCCUAAGGUAGCGAAAUUCCUUGUCGGUUAAAUACCGACCUGCAUGAAUGGCGUAACGAGAUGGGAGCUGUCUCAAAGAGGGAUCCAGUGAAAUUGUAGUGGAGGUGAAAAUUCCUCCUACCCGCGGCAAGACGGAAAGACCCCGUGGACCUUUACUACAGCUUGACACUGCUAUUUGGAUAAGAAUGUGCAGGAUAGGUGGGAGGCUUUGAGUAUAUGACGCCAGUUGUAUAUGAGCCAUUGUUGAGAUACCACUCUUUCUUAUUUGGGUAGCUAACCAGCUUGAGUUAUCCUCAAGUGGGACAAUGUCUGGUGGGUAGUUUGACUGGGGCGGUCGCCUCCCAAAUAAUAACGGAGGCUUACAAAGGUUGGCUCAGAACGGUUGGAAAUCGUUCGUAGAGUAUAAAGGUAUAAGCCAGCUUAACUGCAAGACAUACAAGUCAAGCAGAGACGAAAGUCGGUCUUAGUGAUCCGGUGGUUCUGUGUGGAAGGGCCAUCGCUCAAAGGAUAAAAGGUACCCCGGGGAUAACAGGCUGAUCUCCCCCAAGAGCUCACAUCGACGGGGAGGUUUGGCACCUCGAUGUCGGCUCAUCGCAUCCUGGGGCUGGAGCAGGUCCCAAGGGUAUGGCUGUUCGCCAUUUAAAGCGGUACGCGAGCUGGGUUCAGAACGUCGUGAGACAGUUCGGUCCCUAUCUGCCGUGGGCGUAAGAAGAUUGAAGAGAUUUGACCCUAGUACGAGAGGACCGGGUUGAACAAACCACUGGUGUAGCUGUUGUUCUGCCAAGAGCAUCGCAGCGUAGCUAAGUUUGGAAAGGAUAAACGCUGAAAGCAUCUAAGCGUGAAGCCAACUCUAAGAUGAAUCUUCUCUAAGCUCUCUAGAAGACUACUAGUUUGAUAGGCUGGGUGUGUAAUGGAUGAAAGUCCUUUAGCUGACCAGUACUAAUAGAGCGUUUGGCUUAUCUUUAAUAAAGCAU
rnacentral:rRNA from 1 species